GCCUAGGAUGUGCUAAGGUUACCUGCACUAAUGGAGGAACCUUCAUUGGAUGCAAUUAUGAUCCUCCUGGUAAUUAUAUUGGGAAACGACCUUAUUAAUCAUAAUGUCGUUUAGAUUUACCCAAGGAUAAAAUAUGUCCUGGUUCAUAUCCAAGACUAUAAGAAUAUGAUUUAUGUCUUCCGGUUUCAGCCUAGAUUAAGUUGACCAAGAAAAAAUGGAAUAAAAUAGAAUAUGAUAUAUGUCUUCCUGAUUUCCAGCAUGGAGAUUUGCUUUUGGUUAUUUGUAAAGGGGCAAGAUUUUAAGCCAAAAAUAGAAUAAAAUAAAAUAUUAGGAGUUUGUCCUCAUUUCCUGUGUUUCACUAUCAAUUUACUCUCGUGAUUGCUGAUUACAAUAACUUAAGCCAUCAUAUACUAUCUUCUAGACAUCAUCUUUCUACAAAGACAAACACUACAAAAAAUUCGGCAAUUUGCGACCGAUUUGUCGGUGGCAAACUGCAAGAAAUCGGUCGUUAAACACCAUUAGCGACCGAUAACCAUCUAUCGCAAAAGUGCUCGCCGCUAGAUAAAUGAAAUUUAGAUUUCUCAAGCUCUAAUGACAGGCUAAACCAGUACACAACUAUACGCAUUAAAAGUGGAUAAUAUUAGCAUCGAAUUGCUGAUUUCAUUAGCAUAGAAACCGUUUAAACUUGAAUCUACUGUAUCCUUACCUCAUCUGCGAUCAUCGCAAUGAGUGCAGAGUUACUAGUCCGGAUUUGAGGUUUGUUAGCCAUUUCUUGAAUGAUCCAAUCGCAACAGAGUUAUUUCUUUAAUUGCGACAUGAAAUCGAAACCGAAACCGAAAUCGAAACCGAAAUGGAAAUGAAGAACAUAAGGAGGAGCGCACCAUAUCAAAAAAUCAAAAUCAACAUCUAAGAUGAGAAAAUAACCAAAUUAGAAAAUCGAUAUGAGAAAAGGUACCUUCAGUAGUUCGGUGCAAGCUAAUCUGACUUGAGAUCUCAGACCUUAUCUUUUUUACAGUUAUGGAAGACGCAGUGAGAGAGGGAGAGAGAGAGAGAGAGAGAAAUCAAUCGCGUGUCGAGGAACGGGAGAGGGAUAAGUUUCGUACUAUGGCACAUUUGUAAUUAUUUCUAUGUAUUACAGUAAAUUCAC
rnacentral:lncRNA from 1 species